rnacentral:rRNA from 2 species
CAACGCGACCCCAGGUCAGGCGGGGCUACCCGCUGA